UUUUUAUUUUUUUUUUCUUUUUGCUUUUUAGGUACGGCAGCACCUGCGGCAAAUAGAAGUUCCCAGGCUGGGGGCAAAUCAGCUGCAGCUGCCGGUCUAUGCCACAGUCACAGCAAUAUGGGAUCUGAGCUGCUUCUGCUACCUAAGCUGCAACACCAGAUCCUUAACCCACUGAUGAGGCCAAGGAUCUAACCAUCAACCUUAUCGAUACCAGUCAGGUUCUUAACCUACUGAGCCACAAUGGGAGCUCCCUGGGAUUUCUAAUCGCAUAGAGUGCUUCAUGGUUUAUUGCCCUCUUAGAUCCUUACAACAGUCUUAUAAGAAAAUAGUACGAGAUUAUUUAACCCAUUCUACCCGUUAGGAAAUUUUUAAGUUUUGAGACAAAAAACAAACAAACAAACAAACAAACAAACAAACAAACAAACAAACAAAACCACCUAAAUAAUUAGCCUAAGGUCCUAAGGUUACAUGGUUAGUAAUGUGCAGAGUCGGCACAAAACCCUGGGCUUCAGCUUCAAGUAUCCCUUCUACUGCAGCUCAGAGACUGGUUAAAGUACAAAGUCAAGUGUCACAGGGCAGUUGAUGGAGAAAUCUGUGGACACUGAUCCUACUCUGUCUUCACUAUUUCCUAUUCGUCCCUGAACCUUGUGCUUUGGAAUAAAAUCCCAUAUGUUGGUCCUUAACAGCUAUUUCUCAAACACAUCACAUGGCUAAAUGAGGCUAAGGACACACCAGCUAAUGGUUUAAAGCAUUAUUGUUUUUCCUGCAUUACUAUUAUCUUGACAAUUAUGGAACAGAGAGAUCUGAGCAUGUUCUAGCCCACCUUGUUAUGAGGGUAGUAGAGUUGGGAGGAGGUAAAGAAGGAUAGUAUUUUUUUCCAACCAGAUAAAAAUGAUUUAAAAAUCUUUAGAUUCUUCCUUUAAAGAGGUUAAUUGGGCAAAGAUUGUAUGUGGAGAGAGGCAGGUGCUAGUUUUUCUCACUAUUCAGUGCAUCCAGGCCAAAUGUGUUUUAUGUUGGUUUGGCUAGUUUUAUGCUUUUAAUUAUUGCGCAGUUUUCUUAAGCAAAUUAUUACCAACACUGCCUGGACCAGGCAAUCAGAUUUCCUGCUUCUAUCGUUGCCAGAUCAGAAUAAAAGAGUUAGAUGAUAGUGUCAUAUCAUUGAGAAUUUUUGUUCAUAUUCAGGGGUCUAGAGCUCAGAAACAUAAUUCUAAGUCUUCUUACCUGGAAAGUCAAUUGGAGUUGACCAGAAUAAAAAUAUUUAUUUCUACGGCUAAUUCUUGAUGAGACUGAAAGCAGAAGAAAGUGUAAAAUGCAGACAUACAAUAAAUGUAUAGGAGUUUUAGUUGUGCUUCCAACUAGAAUGAGUUACAAAAGAUCCUAGAGACACAUUGUCUAGGGUUCCUUUCCACAACAGCCUCAAGGACUAGUUAAAGAGACAAGGCUUGGGUAUAUAUCAUACCAGAAGAAACAGAAAGGCAGUUCGCCAUAAAUAAGAUAUUCAGUCAGUAUUA
rnacentral:lncRNA from 1 species